UACGUAGGGGGCAAGCGUUGUCCGGAUUUACUGGGCGUAAAGAGCGUGUAGGCGGCCAAACAGGUCCGUUGUGAAAACUGGAGGCUUAACCUCCAGACGUCGACGGAAACCGUGUGGCUAGAGUCCGGAAGAGGAGAGUGGAAUUCCUGGUGUAGCGGUGAAAUGCGCAGAUAUCAGGAAGAACACCAAUGGCGAAAGCAGCUCUCUGGGACGGUACUGACGCUGAGACGCGAAAGCGUGGGGAGCGAACGGG
rnacentral:rRNA from 1 species